GCCGGAGUGGAGGAACGGCAGACUCACGAGCCUCAAAAUCUCGCGUCCGCAAGGACAUGCGGGUUCGAAUCCCGCCUCCGGCACCA
rnacentral:tRNA from 1 species